rnacentral:lncRNA from 1 species
UUUUUUCUUUCUUGGUUGUGGUACCAGGGAGAAGAUGAAGAUGAAUCAUCUAGCUUGCGACACCUUAGAGCUGAUGAAAAUGAAUUCCAUCGGCCGGGUUGCGACACCUGUUAGAUGAUAAAGAUGAAUACUCUCAGCUACGACAUAUAGGAGAAGAUGAAGAUGAAUCCUCUCGGCUAUGACAUAUGGGAGGAGAUGAAGAUGAAUUCUCUUCAGUUGCAGCACUUGGAAGAAGAUGAAGAUGAAUCCUCUCGGCUAUGACAUAUGGUAAGGAGAUGAAUCCUCUCGACUAUGACAUAUGGGAGGAGAUGAAGAUGAAUCCUAUUCAAUUGCAGCACCUGGGAGAAGAUGAAGAUAAAUCCUCUCGGCUAUGACAUAUGGGAGAAGAUGAAGAUGAAUCCUCUCGGCUAUGACAUAUGAGAGAAGAUGAAUCAUUUUCGAUUGCAGCACCUGGGAGAAGAUGAAGAUGAAUCUUCUCAGCUAUGACAUAUAAGAGAAGAUGAAGAUGAAUCCUCUUUGAUUGUAGCACCUAGAAGAAGAUGAAGGUGAAUCCUUCCGGCUACGACAUAUGAAAGAAGAUGAAGAUGAAUCAUCUUUGGUUGCAACUCCUAAAAGAAGAUGAAGAUGAAUCUUCUUUGGUUGCGACACCUGAAAGAAGAUGAAGGUGAAUCUUCUCGGUUGCGACUCUUAGGAGAAGAUGAAGAUGAAUCCUCUCGGUUGCAACACAUAGGAGAAGACAAAGAUGAAUUCUCUCACUUGCGACACCUUAGAGAAGAUGAAGAUGAAUCAUCUUCGGUUGUUACACUUGAGAGAAGAUGAAAAUGAAUCUUCUCGAUUGCGACUCCUAGGUGAAGAUGAAGAUGAAUCAUCUCGGUUGUAACACAUGGAGGAAGACAAAGAUGAAUCCUCUCACUUGCGACACCUUAGAGCAGAUGAAGAUGAAUCAUCUUCGAUUGCAACACUUAGAAGAGAUGAAGAUGAAGAUGAAUCCUCUUCGGUUGCAACACCUAAGAGAAUAUGAAGAUGAAUCCUCUUCGGUUGCAACACCUAAGAGAAGAUGAAGAUGAAUCUUCUCGGUUGCGAUUCCUAGGAGAAGAUGAAGAUGAAUCCUCUCGAUUGCAACACAUGGGAGAAGAAAAAGAUGAAUCCUCUCACUUGCCACACCUUAGAGCAAAUGAAGAUGAAUCCUCUUCGGUUGUAGCACUUGGGAGAAGAUGAAGAUGAAUCCUCUUCAGUUGCUACACACCUGAGAGAAGAUAAAAAUGAAUCUUCUCGUUGCGGUUCCUAGAGAGAAGAUGAAGAUGAAUCCUCUCGGUUGCAAUAAGUUGAAGAUGAAGCAGAGGUUAAAGCUUUAGCAUUGUAUGCAUCUUCUUCAAGAGGCAGAAACGAUGUUACACUAUCGUUUUCAUCUUGGAGACGCGAAGGCAGAGCUGCCCGAUCGUCGUCCUAUCGAAGUUGUACCAUCGUUAUCCUCUCAAAGAGCUGGAGCUGCAGCAUCGAUGAAGCCUUGAAACUUGAAUAUAAGGAAUCAUCAAUGAAACCUUUAUGCUUGAAUAUGAGGGAUCAUUAAUGACGCCUUUGAGCUUGAUUUUGAGAUUUUUUUUUUUUUUUUUACAUGCACUCAACUUGUACAUAGUCUUUGCACGAAGUUUGUACAUCUUCAAUUUAUUUCAUCUCAUUGUUACUA